UACGAGAUUAGCGAGUGUCUCGUGGGCUCGGAGAUGUGUAUAAGAGACAGAGCUUACUCAUCGAGUGAUCCUGCGCCGAAAAUGAUUGGCGAUCAAGCGUUAUACCGAAGCUCUGGACUUUGCCGCAAGGCAGAGUGGUAGAAGAGCGUUGCAUGCGCGUCGAAGGGCGAUGGCGACUGACCCUGGAGCACAUGCAAGUGAGUAUGCAGACAUGAGUAACGUUAAGCCGGGUGAAAUCCCCGGCCGCCGUAAACCCGAGGUUUCCAGGGCAACGUGUUUCGUCCCUGGGUUAGCCGGGACCUAAGCCGAGGCCGAGAGGCGUAGGCGAUGGACAUCAGGUUAAUAAUCCUGAGCUCGCAACCCUUAAACUGGGGGGACGCAUGAGAAAAGAUGACUAGGUUAUUGAAUUCCGAGUUGAGUCCACGGACUCAGCGCAUCAUUGGAUCGAGUGCCAAGAAAAGCCCCAGCGUAUGCUAAGCGACCCGUACCGCAAACCGACACAGGUGGGUGGGUAGAAUAUACCAAGGCGUAAGAGUGAAACCUGGUUAAGGAACUCGGCAAAUUAGCCCCGUAACUUCGGAAGAAGGGGUGCCUGCAGCGAUGCAGGCCGCAGAGAAAUGGCCCAACCGACUGUUUAUCAAAAACACAGCACUCUGCAAAGACGCAAGUCGAAGUAUAGGGUGUGACACGUGACCAAUGCCGAAAGAUUAAGGCAAGGGGUUAGCCGCAAGGCGAAGCUCUAAACCCAAGUCCCGGUGAAUGUCGGCCGUAACUAUAACGGUCCUAAGGUAGCGAAAUUCCUUGUCGGGUAAGUUCCGACCUGCACGAAUCGUGAAACGAGUUGGGCACUGUCUCAACCAGGCGCUCAGUGAAAUUGUAGUGGCGGUGAAGAUGCCGCCUACCCGCAGAAGGACGGAGAGACCCUAUAGACCUUAACUGUAAGCUGUCAUUGUUUCUUCGGUUUUAAUGCUCAGAGUAAGUGGGAGACGCUGAAGACGCCCUUUAGGGGGCGUCCGAGUCAUCAAUGAGACACCACCCUUUGAAACUGGAGGAUCUAACCCUGAGCCGUGAAUCCGGCCAGAGGACCGUGUCAGCCGGUCAGUUUUACUGGGGCGGUAUCCUCCCAAAGAGUAACGGAGGAGCGCGAAGGUGGGCUCAGCCCGGUUGGCAACCGGGUGUCGAGUGCAUGGGCAUAAGCCCGCCUAACUGUGAGACCAACAAGUCGAGCAGAUGCGAAAGCAGGCCCAAGUGAUCCGGCGGUAGAAAGUGGAAUUGCCGUCGCUCAACGGAUAAAAGGUACCUUAGGGAUAACAGGCUGAUCACGCCCAAGAGUUCAUAUCGACGGCGUGGUUUGGCACCUCGAUGUCGGCUCGUCGCAUCCUGGGGCUGGAGAAGGUCCCAAGGGU
rnacentral:rRNA from 1 species